rnacentral:rRNA from 2 species
UACGGAGGGGACGAGCGUUGUCCGAAGUUACUGGGCGUAAAGCGCGCGUAGGCGGGGGAUUAAGUCCGCUGUGAAAGCCCGGAGCUCAACUCCGGAGGGUCGGUGGAUACUGGUUCUCUUGAAGGUGCUAGGGGGAGAUGGAAUUACCGGUGUAGCGGUGAAAUGCGUAGAUAUCGGUAGGAACACCAGUGGCGAAGGCGGUCUCCUGGAGCACUCUUGACGCUGAGGCGCGAAAGCUGGGGGAGCGAACGGG